UUUUAUUGGUUUGCCCUUAAAGGUGGCAAUUCAUCACAUCCUGGAAGGCACAACCUCAAAGCACUAGUACAUGUCAUUGCCCUGGUUAAGUACAUCUUGGAAAGCAUACGUUCUGAUGGAGUUUUAAAAUUUCAUUUUAUUUUAUAGGCGUCUUGCCUCCAUGUAUGCCUGUGCACCAAUUACAGGCUUGGUAUCCACAGAUGCUGGAAAGGGUGCUGAUUCUCCUGGAGCUGGAGUAACACAUGGCUUGUGAGCCACCAUGGCGGUGAUGGGAGUUGAACCCAGGCACCCAGACUGCAGGAAAACAACAGACAAUUGUGCGUCUUGGCCUCGUCCACUCAGUGAGCUGGAGAAAUCACCUAAGAGGCAGAUGAGAAGACUCGGCCUAUUGUACCUUGAGCAUUUUAGGCUGUGCAUCCAAGGGCAGGCCUCACAGCUCUGUGGAAAGCCCGUUGGCCCAGAGUUAGUACAUUCCGCCAUGUUAUGUCAUGAGCAAUCUAUGAUGGUGCGAGUGUCUCCAUUCACUAGUUGUGAUAUGAGCAAAGGGAAUGACAGUAUCUAGCCAGAAUUUUUGAAGAAGGAAACAGACUCAGAAGAGAUAACUACACCAAGCUGAUAAUAGGACUGAAACUGAUUUCUGUGGACUCCCGAUCUAAGGAUAACUUGACUGAGUUACCUCUUUCAAGGGUGGAAUCAGAGCUCCUCAAGGAAGGAAGGAGAAUAACGCCCAAAGCUAGUAUGCUUGACAAAGCAAUUCAUCCUUCCAAACUUGAUGGGAGCAGAGAGAGGCCCUGUCUCUAUCUCUUCUCUAGUGGAUCCUUUACACAUCGCCUCCUGCAGUCAGACUGGAAAAAAAGGAUGGUGAGAGGGGAAGGGGGGAUUAAUGUGUACAAUUCUAUGAACAGUUCCUAGAUUGUCUCC
ensembl:lncRNA